UGUUGCCAAUAUGCCGCAGAAUGGGGGAAAAAAAGCUUUCUGUAUCAAGAUUGUAAUAAAAGCAUUAAAACUAGGGAAUAGAUUUCAUAGACAUGAAGGCAAGGCAAGGUGCAGGCUGCCCCUGCUUGCCUUAUUGUUACGCCCUUGGUCCUUUCAUACUUCACAUUCUCUCACUCAAUCACACACCAUUCUCUCCCUAUGUAGUGCUAUAUAGAUAUACACUUACCUAUGUACUCACCUUUCCCUUGUAAUUUUUCCAGAUGAGAGACUGUGCUAGAUGAAUGGAUCCCAAGGGGCUCCGGAGCAAAUGACCAGACAUUGCAGAAGAUGAUGUAGUCUGUAUGCAGCUGAUGUUCCAAUGCUAAAGUCCAUGGAUGGUGGUUGUAGAUACCAUGAGGCUCAGAUACUUACCUCUGCCAGGUGGAGCUGACAAAUGAAAAGCCUGAGUUCUUCUUGCUGCCCCCUGAUGUGGUGUCAUUCCUUUGGGGCUGCAGGAAAGACGGAGCCUUACCUUCAAGCGGCUUAAAAAGAUCCAUAGUUGGCUGCACAAAAGUGGAAAAUAAUUGUUAGGACAAUACAGAAUAUCCAGUAUGGAUCUUUCAGAUCUUCAUCAAUCCAGUGAGGAAAGACAGGCUCUUCGUAGAUGACAGAGUCAGUAUGCUCCUCCUCAUCGCUUCCAUCCAAGAACGGGGACUCGCCGGUGGCCAUUUCGAAGAUAAUGAUUCCAAGGGCCCACCAGUCUACUGCUGCAGUAUAUUCCCUACUUUCUAGGAUCUGAAUAGAAAAACAAAGCAUUUAUCAGUUAGUAAGAUGUUGUCAGUUAUUUCACCUUUUGAUGGCUUCACCUUAACCAUCUUAUAAUUUGUUUGUGAGACCUAUAAAUAAGGUAACGGUUAACAAAAUUUGUAUUGAUAUAAGAAGUAAAAGUUGAAUGCGAUAAUGUUGGCUUUACCUGAGAUCAGCCCUUCCCAUACUGUACCCAGCAGUACUUCUUCCCUAUGGAAAGACAUCCCACAAACCCUUGUGUCUUCUGCCUUUAUCCUAUAAAGCCAGCCAGUACAAGUACAUAGAAAUAUGAAGGACAGGCCAUUUUGUAGAUUGGUGUAUUUCUGGUAGAAGGAUUUUUCAGGUAAUAAUUUACAAAAUACUGCCUGCAUUGGGGCAUAGAGACCAUGGGAUAUUGGUGCAUGGCUAAAGGAAACAGUGUAGUAAUAAUUUUACUUGACUGCGUUUAGAGCGUUUUUAAUAUCCACUUUGACAAGAGGCUGCUUAUAUAACCCAAGAAUGACAUUGGGGUAAGUAACUGCAUUUCAGCAGUCACUGAUACUUCUACGUCUAUACAUGUUAUCAGUUUGGCUAUAUAUACAGUUCUGUUGUUUUGGCCACAUAACCCUAUACAUACUGCUGUUACUAGGCCUUACUUGAUAAGAAUGAUACUAGAGUUGCAUUUCUUACCUCCGGGGCAAUGUAUCCCAUUGUGCCUGCCCGCCCAGUGAUGGUCUUGUUGUUGAAAAUAUUCAUCUUCGCUAGACCGAAAUCUGUGAUCUUGAUGUGACCUUCUCCAUCUAGCAUAAUGUUUGCAGGUUUGAGAUCCCUGUAAUAAAGAUAUGAAAAGGGCAAUCAUGAGAGAGGUUUGGAAUUAAUAUUAACCUAUAAGGCAAUGAAAUGUGCAAAAAAAAAAAGAA